UCACAAUAUCUCUACGUUUUCUCUAGCUUGCUAACUUACUAAUCUACAAUGUUCGCGAAGGUGUUUUUAGCUGUAACAUUAUUUUUUGCGAUCUUCUUAACUGGUACUUGGGGAGAUCUUUCUAGAAGCCCUAAUCAGUCCGAACUAGUUUUGAAAACGGGUCUAAGUCCCGCACCGACUUGUGGGCCUUGCGAAAAGUUGGUUUUUAAUAGAUGUAGACGAAUCUUUAGUUCAGAAUGCCCUAAACGUACAGAAUGAACCUAUGCAGAUCUAGAGAAGUCAACGGAUAAAGAUAAACACCUUAGAUAAAGAUGUAUAAUAUUAAGAUUUAAUGGAAUCUACAAAUUAGAAUAUAUAUUAGUCAUAUUAGGGAAACGUACAAAUUAUUACUUUAACAAUAUUAGGUUUUUUAACGUACAUAUCUCCUAAAAUUAACCAAAAAACUUUACAUAGACUUGAUCUACCUAUCAAUAUUUGGUUAAUUUUUUAAUAAUAUUGUUAUGGAUAGUAUUUUGUAAAGUAAUUAUUUAUUUUAUUUAUUUAAAAUAAAUUUGCAAUAUUUAA